rnacentral:misc_RNA from 1 species
AAGUCGUAACAAGGUCUCCGUUGGUGAACCAGCGGAGGGAUCAUUACAGAGUUACUUAAAAACUCCCAACCCUUUGUGAACUUACCACUGUUGCCUCGGCGUUGGCUGCGGCUACCCUAUAGUUACCCUGUAGGCAACUACCCUGUAGUUGCUUACCCUGUACCUAUCUCGUAGUUCGCUUAGGCCCGUCGGAGGACCACUGAACUCUUGUUUUUACUGUGAAUAUCUGAAUGCUUCAACUGAAAUAAGUUAAAA